rnacentral:rRNA from 1 species
UACAGAGGUCCCAAGCGUUGUUCGGAUUCACUGGGCGUAAAGGGUGCGUAGGUGGUGAGGUAAGUCGGAUGUGAAAUCUCCGAGCUCAACUCGGAAAUGGCAUUGGAAACUACCUUGCUCGAGGGUUGGAGGGGGGACUGGAAUGCUUGGUGUAGCAGUGAAAUGCGUAGAUAUCGUGAGGAAGACCGGUGGCGAAGGCGGAUCUCUGGACAGUUCCUGACGCUGAGGCGCGAAGGCCAGGGGAGCAAACGGG